GAAAAUGUAUCAAAAUUAGCUAGUCCUGAUACUUGAUUUCAUUUUAUAAAUAAAUCUUGAAAUAAAACUGAGUGAAUCAAUGACCAAUAUAACAAAUCUUCAUUUCAUUUCCUUUUAGAAUCAGUUUCCAAUUGGAAAAUAGAUGCUUUUGACUUAGUUGUACUAUGGUCUUAUAAAACUGUACUCUUUCUUUUGAAUGUUUAAGGCAUUAUCUAUGAGGAUUCAAUAUGGAUUGGAAUAAAAGAUUGUUCUCCCGCGAGAUUCGUAUCUUCAGAUUUGAUUCGAGGGCGAGCAUCUAAAUAUUUUCUCUAACCUUUGAGGAUGAUUAUGUGGCGCCCGAUGACGACGAAUAUGAGGAGAAGAUGCAGAAAGAAACUAUAUCAUUUUUCUUUUUAGAAAUGCUUUUCGUUGACUCAUGUGGGUGAGGUUAUUAAUGAACUCCUGACUAAAGACUAUUCCUGCGAUGUUGCUCUGCCAUGUGUCCAGAAAAGGUGACAUCUAUUACACUUGAUUAGUAUGAUUCUAUCAUCAUAUCUUUGACUUUGUCCCAUUGGAAACAUAUAUACUGUCUACAUACUGCCACUAGACUACCCUUGUUAUUUUUGGAACAUAGGCUUUAUGAAAACU